GGCAGGUGCCUCCAAAUUAUAAUCUGAAGUCUCAAGAGCUUAACAUCUCAUCAUCCUUCAUCUCACUUCCAAAAACCCAUGAUUUCAGCAAUGCUCUUAAAAGACAGAUGAAGCAUAGGACCUGCCAGAGCUUAUACUGAAUCAGCACAGCUUCCAAGAAUCCAGGGUCAAAUCUGGGACCUGGAGAAGAGACAAGGAAAUGCAGCUCCUGACUUGUUGAAGAGGAGCUCUCACUGGAGGGUCAGGAGAGAAGACAGCCAGAAAUAGCAAAAGACGUAACAGAAGGAGGGGAAGAAAAAAGAGGCAGAGAAGAAGGAAGAAGAGAUGGAAGA